UCAAAUGUAAAAAAAAACAAAUCCAAGGGAAGUAACAAGCUUUAAAGGGAGAUAAUUUCUAUUUAUCAUUUGGCAGAUACAGAUCAUUUUUACAAGGGAAGUAAUAUUUUUUAAAGGGAUAUAAUCAAAAACAAAAAUAAAUAAAUCAAAGCGGCGCAGUAGGGGGCAUUGUGUUUCUGACAAUCACAUCUCUUGUUUUAAGUUAAGUUUUUUUAUGGGAAUGAUUAUAUUCUUCAUUCCGCUAGUGCUGGGAGAUCAAUAUGAAUAAUGUCCUUACUUUGUUGCUUAAAUGGUGUUUAAACUGAUGCGUUACUAAUAUUUGACAAUACAUAUGAUCUGGUGAAAAUACUUUAAAUAAUGAUUAUGCUUUAAUUAAAUAAUUCUUUAUUUCCUUAGAUAAAGUUUUUAAGAUCGCAAUGCUUCCUGAUAGACAGUUCACUGGUAAGAAGUCACCUGACACGGUUUGACUGGCAUGCGUAUUUUUUAAAUGUUUUUGAUUUAACAGUGUUUAAUACCAACUGCUUGUAUUAAUCUUCACCAAAAUUGAAAUUGUUUUUCAAAAUUUAUUUGAAACAUUAAAGUGACUUUUUACCAAUAUCUCUUGUUAUCAAAGUGUUUGAUGCAAGCAUGUCAGCUAGGAAUAAUUCAUUGAAGUUCACAGUUUGAUGGAUAAAAAAUUCAACAACAAAAACAUUGUUUUAUUCAUUUAUUGCACAAUUAAUUUGUUAACAAAAAUGUUGCUUUGAUUAUGUGUAACAUAUAUCAUACACAAGAUUUACAAGUACGGUAUUUAUUUCAGGAUCUUAUCUUAAUACGUUUUAUGAAACGAUUUCAAGGUGUUAAUAUGGAACAACUUUCAUGUUUGUUUAAAAAAAUAUUCAUGAAUGCUUGAUUGACGUUUUAAGAUUAAUUUUGUGUAAUUGCCUGAAAUGACAGUUUACAAUAUGAACCACACAACAGUACUAAAAAUUAAAACAAUAAAAAACAAACAUCCCAUACAAUAUGGUUAGGAUUAAGUAAAAUUUAAGUAAAAGAAACAAUAAAAUACAGAAAGAAACUAUUACACAAAAUUACACUAGGCAAAUAUUAUAAUGCACUGCAGAAUAAAUCAUCUAUUACAGUACUGAUACAUGUAUAUAUUUAUGAUGUAUCUCCCUAACACACAGUAAACUCGAUGAUUGAUUAAUUGUUUUCUUAUUCAUGUACUUGUUCAUGAGAGUUUUAAAUGUUUUAUUCAGUCUGUAUAGGCAUAAUGUAUACAUAUUAUACAAUAUUGUUUUGUUUCAAGUUAUGGUGUCUUUCAUUUGAUUUUGUUUUUUGUUUAUAACAGCAUAAAAUAUUGCCAUGUUUUCAAUAGUUUACAGUUCCAUUCACUUGAGAAUACAAGUCAAUACAUACCCAGCUGAGUAUUCCUGUGGCCUGGGCCAGUAUUCACAAAGAUCAUAUGGUACAUCUAUAGUUGUACUUUAGUGACAACAAUCAACAUUUGGUCAGAUUAUUAUUUUAAGAACCAUACUUAAAAUUUAAAGAGCUUGGUAAAAGAAGUAAUAUAAAAUUAUUAUAAAUAAAUAUGAGAAAAUACAUUUGAAGAAAUCUGAUUUCUAAAUAUUAAAUAUAUUAUAUUUGUAAUACAAAUUCAACCAUUUUGGCAAAGCAAAUCUAAUAGUACAUAUUGAGAAGUCAAAAUAUACAUACUUGCAACUACAAAAAAGAACAAUUAGAAAAAAACAUGAUAUUUGUAAAUUUUCAUGUGUUUACAACUUUGUGAAACAAUAUACUCUUCUCAUUAGACAAGCAAAGUUACCAUAAAUAAGGUCAGAAAUAAUACAGCCAGAUUCGCUCAAGCAAACCCAAGCCUUAAGCCCAUGGAAAUCAAAAAUGAAAUGUGACAAACUUUCUUUUUUGUAAAUUUUUCAAUGGUGCAUAAGUUUCAAAAUCUGAAUAUUCGUAAUUUUGGUGUUAACUCAAGGACAAAAUAAGAUACUUUGUUCACAAGUUUAGAAUUAUUCAACGUUCAAUUCGUGAAAUAGCCUGUUUCCAUAUAUUGGACAAUUUAAGAUUAACAUUCAAAUUUUGCGCUGAAAGAACAUAAUUAUAACUUUGAGUUUUAUGUCUUUACUAUAAAAUAAAGGCAGAAUUAUUUACAUAUCACAUAUCUCCUUAGUAACAGGUCACUGCUAGGAUGGUGCCCUAGGAACCCUCGAUUGUUCACAGGUCACUGCUAGGAUGGUGCCCUAGGAACCCUCGAUUGUUCACAGGUCACUGCUAGGAUGGUGCCCUAGGAACCCUCGAUUGUUCAUAUCUUAGUAACAGGUCACUGCUAGGAUGGUGCCCUAGGAACCCUCGAUUGUUCACAGGUCACUGCUAGGAUGGUGCCCUAGGAACCCUCGAUUGUUCACAGGUCACUGCUAGGAUGGUGCCCUAGGAACCCUCGAUUGUUCAUAUCUUAGUAACAGGUCACUGCUAGGAUGGUGCCCUAGGAACCCUCGAUUGUUCACAGGUCACUGCUAGGAUGGUGCCCUAGGAACCCUCGAUUGUUCAUAUCUUUUCUAUCAAUCUGUUCAGCCAUCCUUUUGGUGGGAAAACAUUAAAUGUGUGUUAGAAUCAAAUUAUCUAUAUUACAAAACAAUUUUAUUGAAAAUUAAGUGAUUUCAACAAUUUAACAAUGUGUACUCAUAUGAACUUUAUUAUAAGGUCAAUGUUUAAUAACUACUUUUUCUAAGUUAAAAGCUCUCUAUGUCAUGCCACCAGCACAAAGGACCACAAUGGAAAUAAGAGUCGCUCUUUUUUGUGUAAUCCUUGGUGUUUGGUGUGCAUGUCAUGGCUUAUUUAUUCUCAUGUGUUCUACUAUUCUGUAUUAUACAUGUUGUUUUAAAUGUCCAUGUAUGUGUAUUCCAUACCGAAAUCAAUCAAUCAAUCAAUCAAU